rnacentral:misc_RNA from 1 species
UUUCCGUAGGUGAACCUGCGGAAGGAUCAUUAAUGAGUUGUCAUGGGGUUCGAUGCUGGCAGCCAAUUUUUGGAUGCAUGUGCUCGCCCUAACAAUCAUCUUCUUCCAAACACCUGUGCACAUUUUUGAGGGAGUCUUGAGUUGGUUGCCGCUCUUGGGUGAUUUUCUCACAUUCCCUUAAAUCAUUAUACGCUAUUAACAAUGUUGAACGUGCUCUGUGCCGCAAGGCCAUUAAUAUAAUACAACUUUUAACAACGGAUCUCUUGGCUCUC